rnacentral:lncRNA from 1 species
UUCUCUCAUAGUUUCAAUCUGCAAGGAUUUUCCAUUGCUAAAGGGGACUUUAUUUCUAAUAGUAUGUGACAAACUACAAUAUGUACAUUGCAAUUUGGCUAUUAACUAAAGAAAAUACGGACACUCGUAAAACUUCACCCAUUUUUAUAUAGUAUCUAUAUAUAUUAUAUUUAACAUUGCCAACCGGGUGUUCAUACGGGUUUCAUUAUGCUUCCUGUUGCUGUUGGAGAAGCAUGUACAGAGGAAGGUGUGGAAAGCGCACGUAUAUUUGGCUGUUGAGUUGAUGGGACUGUGUUUAUGUGGAUGUUCGCUAUUUUUCUUUUUCUAAAUCCUUGAUUACUGACAAAAUGGUGACCUUAAUACAAAAAAGAGUUACAUCCUAGGUUAAUUGUACACUCAUUAUUAGUGUUGGAUCGGUCUAAAAAAGCUUAAAAAACUGCAUUCUUAUCUGUCCGCUUCUAAUAAAAUUUGUCAUUCCUAGGAUAAGUCCUUAUUGGUCUUUUAUGGAUACUACCAGUCGCGUCGCUAGCCUUUUAUAGGGGGGCUUAGCUAAGCCAGCCUAAGAGUUUCUUAACACCCCCCCCCAAAAAAAAAAAAACACAACUCACAUAUGGAAUCCAAAAUGGUUGAACAGAUCAGUUAGUAAUUUAGCAAGUAGACGUAUAAAAUAACCAAAAUUCGUAAGAUAUUUUUUGGACCGAUAUAAAAUAUCCUUUUUCUUCUCUCUUUCUACAUCUAUCUACUUCUUACUAGCGUUGUGUCUGUCAUUAUUUAGGAUCGCAGUCCGGUCUAGUCCAGUUUCACUUGUCGGCCCUUUAAGAAGGUAAAAUGUGACCCUUGGGACUUCAAUGUGGGUAUUUUUUGUCUUUUUAAUUAUUCUAUUAUUUAAUAGAAUAAAUUAUAAACUAUAUAUGUUCGUACUAUAUUAUAUUAUAAUAAAAAAUGUAAUAUUUUUUGCAAGAUAUGGGCAAUAAUCUUAAUGCCUAUUUCAACGCGGGCAUCCUCUGCUAGUAUAUACCUAUAUAAAUUAAACCUAUUUAUCUUAGUAAUUAUAUAACGGUGUGUAUAAUUUUGGGGGUAACCCCCAAAAUGAUGUAUGCUAGCAACUCCCCUGAUAACUACAACAGCUGAAAUGACGUAGUUACUAACUAUAACUUCUUAUUAUACUUUUUAGCUAUCAUUAAUUAUUUUUUUCGUUUUUAUAUUCUUCAAUCCUAACCAGAACUGAAAAACCGUUGAACCACGUAAUUUAAACUGUUGUAGUUUUUUUAAAAGACCAAUAAGGAUGUGUCCUAUGAAUGGUUAAUUUUAUUAGGACCGGACUGCAGUCGUUUUAGUUUUUGUAGACCAAUCCAACAAUACUAUUUGAUUAAUGUUUUAGAGGAUAACAGCUUAGCUGUCAACGGGUCUGAUUAAAUUAGUAGUAGAUAUGAGAAGAAUCAAAUAAAUAAAAAACAAAUCCCAUUCCGUGUCUACGAAGGAAAUUGCUCCGAUUUGAUCCUCAAUUCUACUCUAACUACAAGAUGGACUUACACUUAUAAAUUACUUGCCGUUACUUAUGACCACAUAAACCUUUGGUUACUUGAUACUGACACUCUUUUUUCAAGAAUAGUGAUAACAGAAUGGUAAAAUAAUUUUUUUUGUUCAGAUUGCCGAAACAAUAAACAAACCAGCAAAACGA